rnacentral:rRNA from 1 species
UACGAAGGGGGCUAGCGUUGUUCGGAAUUACUGGGCGUAAAGCGUGCGCAGGCGGCUUUGCAAGACAGAUGUGAAAUCCCCGGGCUUAACCUGGGAACUGCACUUGUGACUGCAAGGCUGGAGUACGGCAGAGGGGGAUGGAAUUCCGCGUGUAGCAGUGAAAUGCGUAGAUAUGCGGAGGAACACCGAUGGCGAAGGCAAUCCCCUGGGCCUGUACUGACGCUCAUGCACGAAAGCGUGGGGAGCAAACAGG